ensembl:lincRNA
AUCCAGCAGUGGGACCCGGUUAGAUCCUCACCGGCUACUUGGCUGUCUACACUCAACAGCUACCUCUUCCAGGAGCUCCUCAUAAACCCGAAGCCAGCCAAGACCUGUGUGGACGCCAAAGGACACGGUGAACUUGGCGACCUCGGGCCUGAAUUCUGCCUCCAGAGCUUGGCAGCAGAGCUGGCAGUGCCCAGGCUGCGUGGUGUGGUGGUGGCCUGGGCCCACCCCGGCCUGCCGCGUCUUCCCUUCUGCAGCCCCGUGCCUGCCGUCAACCUUAGCAGGGAGGUCGUGGUUCUCCUGCCCUGGAGAGUGGGAGGUGCUUGCCUCACAGGGGCCACCCUGAAUGAACACACCUGCCCUUUGACGUCAGCCAGCAGACAGACAUGGAGAGUGCCAGACCCGGGUGAAGCGGACCUUGGAGCCCCCAGUGGGUCUGAUGGACCUGCAGAUCUGUCCUGGAGUCCUGGGCAAGCUAGUUCACAUCCCUGUGCCUCAGUUUCCCUACCAGUAAAGUGCAGGCUCGAGCAGUUGGGAGUGGGGCACACACCUGAAUCCCAGCACUUAGGAGGCCAAGGCAGGAGGGUCGCUGUGAGUUCAGGGCCAGACUGGACUACAUCCCAAGACCUGUCUUGAGGACCUCAGAAUAUGGACGUGAAUACCAGUGGCAGCAGUGAGAAUGGCAGGUCUCCCUCUAGGACGGCAGAGCCCAGCAAACAGCAGCUGCUCAAUGACAGGGCAGCUUUGAGAACCCAGAGACACCAGGCAGACCAGGCCUGAGCCUGCGUGAGGAUGGGGGAACCCUGAUGUUUUCCCAGGAGAAAGGGUGGACAGCAGCAGGAAGGGGCUAUUAAAGAAAUCACAACUGGGCUGGGGAUUUAGCUCAGUGGUUCCGCCACCUGCCUCAUAAGCACAAGGUCCUCAGUUCGAUCCCCGGUACCAAAAGGAAAAAAAAAGGAAAUCACGACUUUCCAGUGAAUACAGCAGGGGAGCCAUCUACACCUCCAGGGAGCCGAGAGUGGCCGCCACAGGUCCUGGGAAAUGAAUUUACAAAUAGCACUUGAAACGACCAAUGCCCGCAGGUCUGCUGUCAGUUACGCGUCUGCCAGACACAGUGGUCUGCGUUGUAACGGAGAAAAGUCACUCCCCUCGCAGUGGGCUUUGCCAUACUAGUUCCAAGGUGAGGACAGGGACCAGAGAACCCACGAGUGCAAGCAAGCCACCCUCCUCCAUCUCAAGGUCUCCAAAGGCGUUUUGUGGGUGGGUGGGGGAAGCGAGGCCGAAGAAGGGGUGGAGGGGGAUGGAGGAGGUGUGUGUCUCACACAGUCUGUACUGUUUGUGUCUGGAUUAUUUUACUCAGGAAAAUAUCUGAGGCAACGUCCAUGUUGGUGCAUAUAUCUGUGGCCUUUGUUCCCUUUUCAUUGCUACAUAGUACUCCAUCGGGCGAUUGCAUCACAGCUUUUUUAUUCUGUCUUCCUUCGAUUACAUUUAAGUUCUUUCCAGCUUGGGGGACCAAUCUGAAGAAAGUGGCUAUGCAUAUCCUUGCAUGUGGCUUUUCCUGUUUUGAUUUUUGUCAAGCUGAUGCCUAGAGAAGGUGGCUGGUUUAUUGUGUGCUUAGGUAUAGUAGACAGAGCCAAAGCAUUUUCCAGAGUGGUGGCCUCAGUUUACCACUCCCAGCAGUGCACAGGGCACCCCAGGGCCUCCGUGCUCACCAGUCAGUUUUCCUGGUAGCUGUGGAGUGGGUGCAUUGUGGUAGCUCAUUCUGGUUUUAAUUUACAUUCACUAUUUUCUUAGAGUGGUCAGUUUGUCUACUCUUAAACGAGCCUCACAGGGUCUUAACGGCUGUGGCUUUUAUAGAACGUUAUAAAAUCCAGGUGUUUGAGCCGUUCCUCUGUUCUAACUUAUAGCAGUCCAGGCCAUUUUAGGUCCUUUGCAUUUUCCCAUGCUUCUCAUUUUAUUCCAGUGCUGGGAAUCGAACCCAGGGCCCGUGCUACGUGCAGCUCUCCUACCGAGCCGAACCCCAGCCUUGCAUUUCAGCAUAGAGUUGUCAGUUUCUGCAAAGGCCUGCUGGGUGUUUGGCAGGAGCGGUAUCGAACCUGCAGAUCAUUGUGGGGAGGACGACAGCCCUCGGUCAGGGCCAGAGUGGGUUUCUCUGUCUAUGAACGCCCGCCUUAACUUCUGCGGUCGGCUGUCUUUUCCACCCCGCGCCUGAUGGCACUUGCUGGGCAUUAGCCUGUACACCACAGUUGCCCUAAGGGAGUUUGCGGUCUGGCUGCCGCCCUUCUGGGGUGUCGGGGGUGAGGACCCCAGGGACAGGCAGAUCUAGGGGGGAAUGGAGCAGCCGGGAUCCCAGGCGGGUCCUCCCCACCCAGCCCCUGCCGCAUCUGGCCUUCCGGUGUGCGGUGCCUGGCUUUGCCCCCCGAAGUGCCACACUCCUCAGCGCACCCCUUAAAGGACAGGACACAGGACCGGGAGGCCCAGGCAGGAGCGGGAGGCGAGCUUUCCGGGAUGGUGCGAUGGCGCUGGUGCCCAGCCCGCCUGGCUGGUCACCGGGGCCAACCUGUCAGGCUCCGGGCUGGGCCUUCCGUGCUGAAAGGAACUAAUUAAACUGUUGGCAACUCCAGCUUUGUUUCCUAAUCACUGGCUUUCUGCUGACAGAAGCAGUUUGGCCCCCGAUUAUUCUUAAAGGGGGCAAACCCUUUUCCUACCGAAC